UCCAUGCUGUAAACGAUGGGUGCUAGAUGUUGGGUCUGUCGUGGACUCAGUGUCGCAGAGAAAUCGAUAAGCACCUCGCCUGGGGAGUACGAUCGCAAGGUUGAAACUCAAAGGAAUUGACGGGGGCCCGCACAAGCGGUGGAGCAUGUUGUUUAAUUCGUGGCAACGCGAAGAACCUUACCUAGGCUUGACAUAUAGGUGGUAGUGAACCGAAAGGGGAACGAAAGCGCUCC
rnacentral:rRNA from 1 species